UUAAUCGAAGCCAAAAAGAGGCAUAUCACCGUUAAUGAUAAAAUUGGGUAAUUCCCCGAUUAAG
rnacentral:tRNA from 1 species